rnacentral:rRNA from 1 species
GAAGAACGCUGGCGGCGUGCCUAAUACAUGCAAGUCGAGCGAACAGACGAGGAGCUUGCUCCUCUGACGUUAGCGGCGGACGGGUGAGUAACACGUGGAUAACCUACCUAUAAGACUGGGAUAACUUCGGGAAACCGGAGCUAAUACCGGAUAAUAUAUUGAACCGCAUGGUUCAAUAGUGAAAGACGGUUUUGCUGUCACUUAUAGAUGGAUCCGCGCCGCAUUAGCUAGUUGGUAAGGUAACGGCUUACCAAGGCGACGAUGCGUAGCCGACCUGAGAGGGUGAUCGGCCACACUGGAACUGAGACACGGUCCAGACUCCUACGGGAGGCAGCAGUAGGGAAUCUUCCGCAAUGGGCGAAAGCCUGACGGAGCAACGCCGCGUGAGUGAUGAAGGUCUUCGGAUCGUAAAACUCUGUUAUUAGGGAAGAACAAAUGUGUAAGUAACUAUGCACGUCUUGACGGUACCUAAUCAGAAAGCCACGGCUAACUACGUG